rnacentral:lncRNA from 13 species
AAGACUCAAACCUAUAGAUUGAAAGAGAAUAUUAUGCCCAAGAGAAACUGCAUACAGAGGUCAACACCAAGGCAUUUCUGAUGAAGACCCAAGGGGAGCCGUCAAUUAGAGCCGUGCUUGAGCCUAAGGCUGACCUGAAC